rnacentral:lncRNA from 1 species
AUACUAUGUAUAUAAAUAUGUGCAUACCUUGAUUUCCUUUCUCCUUCUCUAGUAUGAUAAAUUAUUCAGUAUUAGUUAUGCUUUUUUCCUCAUAUGUUACCAAACAUUAAACAUUCAUUAAAUUUAAAAGCAAAAACAAAAUCAAUAUAUACAUAAGUGAAUUGCUAAAAUAUGAGUGUUUGUGAUUUUAGGUUUAGGUUGAAAUAUAUAUCAUUACCCAUUUGUUGAGUUAAGGGAGACUUACAGAUUGUUUUAGGUUUAGAUUGAAAAAAGCAUUGGCGAUCCUUCAUUGCUUUUCCACAGAUACCACCAAUAUAUAACAUUU